UUCAUUUACUUUCAUUACUUCAUUACUUUCUAUUUUAGAAGUUGAAGCUGGAGUUCAUCUGGUUUGCAACAAGAUUAAAAUCUUAUUGUCUUGCAACUUUAUGAGGCAUGAAUACUGGUUUUGUUGGUUUAAAACCGUUAAGGGGAAAUAACGCAGGAAUUCAAUUUAAAGCUGGCCGCAAAAACAGAGAUGGAGUUUGAAGAAGAGAAUAUGCAGAGAGUGAUUAUUUUCUUGUUGAAAGACCAUGCCAAAUUUAUCAUCAACUUAGCAACUUAAAUAGUUGCUAUUACAACUAAAAAUAGGACAAAGAAACAACCUAUUUCUACCAAAAUUAAAAUAACUAAUUAGUUUCCUACCAAAGAUAGGACUCCUAAUUUAACUAGGAUUGUAUGUAAAAAAAACUAGAGAGAAAGAAAACAAAGAAACACGUUGCAUUCCUAAAGCAACUCUCAAUACUCCUCUUUGCUUUAUGAAAUGCAAACUCCAAUUUUCUGUCUAAGAAGCUUGAAUUUGCUAACUGGUAAAGGCGUAGUGAAUAUAUCAGCCCACGUUCUUCCAUCUUUCAGUAGACAAGAAUCACAUCUCCAUCUUUUUGAACUUCUCUCAGGAAGAAAAACUUGAUAUUGAAGUGCUUAGAUUUUCCAUGAAACAGAGGAUUGUCAGAAAUAGCUAUUGCUGCUUGGUUGUCCACGAAUACUUCAAUGCUUCCUUUUGGUUCCAUAUGCAGAUCAAUCAGCAUUUUCUUCAGCCACAAUGCUUGAUUUACUGCUGCUGUAGCUGCCACAAACUCAGCUUCGGCAGUAGAUUGAGCCACAAUGUCCCGUUACAACUCCAUGAAAAAAUCCCAGAACCAAGACUAAAAUAGUGUCCUGAAGUACUCUUCGAGUCAUCUUUGGAACCUCCCCAAUCACUAUUAAAGUACCCAAAAAGCUUCACAGGUUGAGUCCUUCGAAACAUGACUCCAUAGGUGAUAGUUCCUUCGAUGUAUCGCACAAUUCUUUUUGCUGCCUUCAGAUGUACUUCACUCGGACAAUGCAUGAACCUUGAUAGAAUACUUACAGCAUACAAUAUAUCGGGUCUUGUUGCUGUAAGAUACAUUAAACACCCAAUGAAACUUCUGAAAUAUGUUUCAUCCACCUUUUUGGCUCCAUCAUCUUUGCUUAGUUUCUCUUUUGGGGUCAUGGGAGUAUUCACCUCUUUGCAAUUUUCCAUUUUGAAUUUCUUGAGAAUUUCUUUCGCAUAUUUCUUCUGGCAAAUGAAAAACUCAUCUUUCCCUGUGUAAUCUCCAUUCCAAGGAAAUAAGUCAUCAGACCAAGAUCAGACAUUUCAAAAGCUUGCAUCAUAGCCUGCUUGAACUCAUCAAUGAGUUUUGCGCUGCUUUCUGUAAUCAAAAGGUCAUUGACAUAAAGAGAAACAACAAGUAUCCUACUGUUAUUGUGUUUAACAUAUGGUGUGAAUUCUGAAACACUUUUCUCAAAGCCGAGGCUAAGCAAAUAGUCAUCUAUUCGACUAUACCAAGCUCUUGGUGCUUGUUUUAGGCCAUAAAGAGCUUUAUGUAGUCGGUAGACUUUUUCUUCUUUGCCAUCUACAACAAAACCUUCAGGUUGCUCGAUAUAGAUUCUUCUUCAAGAACUCCAUUAAGAAAUGCGGAUUUGACAUCCAUCUGGUGCACUUUCCAGACACGUUGUGCAGCAAUAGUAAGAAGCAACCUGAUUGUGUCAAGCCUAGCAACUGGAGCAAACGUGUCAGAAUAAUCAACACCAAAAAUUUGUGCAUGCCCCUUAACUACCAGUCUUGCCUUGAGCUUGUUAACAGAACCAUCAGUGCGGUAAACCCACUUCACAUCGAUGAUCUUUCUAUCUUGAGGCUUUUUCACAAGCUGUCAGGCCUUGUUCUUCUCAAUCAUUGCAAGCUCCUCCUCCAUCGCAGCUUUCCACUUAGGAUCUAAAACAGCUUCUUCAAAUCCAGAAGGCUCUAAAAUGGCCACAUUACAUCUCUGGUAUAUCUCAGAGAGCAACCUUGUUUCUCUCACAGGUUGAUCAUCAAUGUUUUCAUCAAAAUUUAGUAGAUUGCUUGUGAUUUGCUUCCGGUUAACUUUUUCCCAGUCCAUUGCUCAUUCUCCAUAAAAAAUACAUCUCUACUUAACAUUAUUUUUCCAGUAUGAGACUGAAAAAUCUUGUAAGCUUUAGAGAUUGUACUGUAACCAAUAAAAGCUCCAGGUUCAGCUUUCUUGUCUAACUUGUCCCUCUUAACCUGCGGAAUAUGAGAGAAACACAAACAACUGAAGAUUUUUAAGUUUUUUAAGUACGGCUUAUACCCGUCCCACGCCUCAAAAGGUGUCUUGCCGUCAACUGGUUUGGUAGGCAAUCUGUUCAGUAAAAAAACAGCAGUGUUAGCUGCUUCUGCCUAUAAAUAUUUUGGUAGGCCUUUCUCAUAUAACAAACACCUCGACAUCUCCAUUAUCGUCCUAUUCUUCCUUUCACUGACUCCAUUCUGUUGAUGCUCAAUACCUGCAUUUUCGCAGAACUUUUCAAAUCGAUCAGAUGUGUACUCAGUACCAUUAUCUGAUCUAAGCGUUUGCAUCCUGCAACCACUUUGAUUUUCUACCAAAGCUUUGAAUUUCCAGAAUACUUUAGGUACUUCAGAUUUGAAUCUGAGAAAAUAAAUCCAACACAUUCUUGUCAUAUCAUCAAUAAAUGCUAUAAAAUAUUUACUUCCGUUAAGAGAAGCAGUUUUUAUGUGGUCCACACAAAUCAGUAUGGACUAACUGAAGCUUCUCCGAUGCUCUCCAGGUUGCCUUGGCAAAAGGCAUCCUGCUUUGCUUUCCAAAUUGACAUGUGUUGCAACUUGUGUGUUUUUCCUCCAUGGAUGGUAGUCCUAGAACCAUAUAGUUCAGUCCUAGAACCAUAUAGUUCUUCACUAUGUGCAAGAGUGCAUUGUGAUGAAAAUGCCCGAGUCUCUUAUGCCAUACAUCUUCUAUCAUCUCUUGGCUCGAAUAGGCAGCUGACUUUCCUUCCAUUAGAUCAAACGAAAAGCUUUUUCCUCUCAUCUUAACUUGGCAGAUUUGUUGACCCUUUGGAUCAAAUAUCACACACUUCUUGUCCCCCAAAAUUAAGCUUAAAACCAUUCUCCAAAAGUUGUCCUACGCUCAAUAAAUUUUGAUCAAGUUCUGGAAUAAAAAGUACAUCUGAAAUUAACUUUGUACCUGAGCGGCUUUCAAUAGCUAUUGUUCCUUUUUCUUUGGCAGAAAGAUAAUCACCAUUACCGAUUCUGACUUUAGAGAUUGCGGACUUGUCUAAAUAUUUGAAAAUCUUCUCAUCAUGAGUCAUAUGAUUUGUACAACCGCUAUUAAUUAGCCAGGACUCACUUGAGAUGUUGCUUGUAAAACACGAUGCGACGAAAAGUUGAUCUUCUUCCUGUUCAUUAACAACUCGAGCCUCUGCAUCUUGCUGCUGAGUUUUGUUUUUAGAGAUGAUCGCUUCAUGCCCAAGUUGAUUGCACUUAGUGCACUUAGCAUUCGGCCUCUUCCAACACUUGAAAGGUGCAUGUCCGAGCUUGCCGCAAUGCUUACAAGGAGGGUAUUUUCCUUUGAAACCACCUGUUUUGUUUUUGUUGUUGUGCACUACACCUUCUUCAUCGGUUGGUUGGUUAUUUUUCUUCUUCUUCUUCUUCUUAGAACGUCCAUCAUCGUGAUGCUUGGCUAUAAGGCACCUUCGACAGCUCCUCCUUGUCUCAUAACACGCCGUUGCUCUUGCGCUUGAAAAGCACUUAAAGAGCUCUGCAAGUGUGAUCUUGGACAAGUCAUUAGUAUUUUCUAAGGUUGUUAUGAUAGCCUCAAAUCUUUCAGGUGCCGUUACUAGGAUUUUCUCAACAAUCCUUGAAUCAUUGAAAGCGGAACCCAACAAUCUGAUGCGAUUAGCUAAAUUAAGGAGUCUGUUAGAGUACUCCUUUAUGGUUUCACUUUCUUUCAUUCUUUGCAGCUCAAACUCACGUACCAGAUUCAACACUUGCAUACAUCGAAUCCUUUCAUCUCCUUCAUACUCGGUCUUGAGAUAAUCCCAUACCUAUUUCGUUGAUUCCAGAGACAUGAUACGAGUGAAGAUAUUAGAUGAAACUGCAGUAAAUAAGCAUGCCAGUGCCUUUGAUUUCCUGGUUUUCCUCUCCUUGUGAGUUUUAAUCUGCGCCACCGUGGGAUUGUCCGGCAAGGGAGCUAUCUCGUAUUCAUCUUCAACAGCUUCCCAUAGAUCCAAAGCUUGCAAAUAUAUCCGCAUUCUUACUGCCCAGAUUUGAUAACUUUCACCAUCGAAAGUUGGUGGUGCCAUUGAAGAAAAAUUUGUUUCUCCGUUCAUGGUAUCCACUGGAUCAGAUUUGAUGCAAACACUCACAGGUCCCUUAAGAUUAAAGCUCUGAUACCAAUUGUUGGUUUAAAACCACUAAAGGGAAAUAAUGCAGGAAUUCAAUUUAAAGCUGGCCGCAGAAACAGAGAUGGAGUUUAAAGAAGAGAAUAUGCAGAGAGUGAUUAUUUUCUUGUUGAAAGACCACGUCAAAUUUAUCAUCAACUUAGCAACUUAAAUAGUUGCUAUUACAACUAAAAAUAGGACAAAGAAACAACCUAUUUCUACCAAAAUUAAAAUAACUAAUUAGUUUCCUACCAAAAAUAGGACUCCUAAUUUAACUAGGAUGGUACGGCAAAAAAAACUGGAGAGAAAGAAAACAAAGAAACACGUGCAUUCCUAAAGCAACUCUCAACAGGUUUUAUG
rnacentral:lncRNA from 1 species